rnacentral:rRNA from 1 species
GAUGAACGCUAGCUACAGGCUUAACACAUGCAAGUCGAGGGGCAGCAUGACCUAGCAAUAGGUUGAUGGCGACCGGCGCACGGGUGAGUAACACGUAUCCAACCUGCCGAUUAUUCCGGGAUAGCCUUUCGAAAGAAAGAUUAAUACUGGAUAGCAUAACGAGAAGGCAUCUUCUAGUUAUUAAAGAAUUUCGAUAAUCGAUGGGGAUGCGUUCCAUUAGUUUGUUGGCGGGGUAACGGCCCACCAAGACAUCGAUGGAUAGGGGUUCUGAGAGGAAGGUCCCCCACAUUGGAACUGAGACACGGUCCAAACUCCUACGGGAGGCAGCAGUGAGGAAUAUUGGUCAAUGGACGAGAGUCUGAACCAGCCAAGUAGCGUGAAGGAUGACUGCCCUAUGGGUUGUAAACUUCUUUUAUAUGGGAAUAAAGUGGGCCACGUGUGGCUUUUUGUAUGUACCAUACGAAUAAGGAUCGGCUAACUCCGUG